UCCUAUGAGUGUGAUUAUGGAGUCAUCA
rnacentral:piRNA from 1 species